AAGCAGAGGACAGUGGCGGACGGGUGAGUAACGCGUGAGGAACCUGCCUUUCAGAGGGGGACAACAGACGGAAACGACUGCUAAUACCGAAUAAGUUCCAAGAGCCGCAUGGCCCAUGGAAGAAAAGGUGGCCUCUACCUGUAAGCUAUCGCCUGAAGAGGGGUUUGCGUCUGAUUAGCUGGUUGGUGAGGUAACGGCUCACCAAGGCGACGAUCAGUAGCCGGCUUGAGAGAGUGAACGGCCACACUGGAACUGAGACACGGUCCAGACUCC
rnacentral:rRNA from 1 species